rnacentral:rRNA from 1 species
CUACACACGUCAUACAAUGGCUGGUACAAAGGGUUGCCGAACCCGCGAGGGGAGCUAAUCCCAUAAAGCCAGUCGUAGUCCGGAUCGUAGUCUGCAACUCGACUACGUGAAGUCGGAAUCGCUAGUAAUCGUGGAUCAGAAUGUCACGGUGAAUACGUUCCCGGGUCUU